rnacentral:lncRNA from 1 species
CAUUUAGUCUCCCCAAUUCCUGACUACAAGUGUUAUCUUCUUCAUUUAGAAUGGUGAUUUUAUUUAUCAAGGGCCAGAGAGUUGUAUUCUGCAAACUCUUCAUAUCAGAGAGUCAUGAGAAUUUGUAAAAUGUAUGAGAAUGCUAUAUAUUAUUCCAAGAAAGAACUUACACAUACCUCUCUGGUUCCACCCAACGAGAAACACCCACAGGUGUGGAGGGGCAACCCACCCCUUCACAUGUAACCAACCAGAGAAGUAAUAAAAGAGAAAAAUAUAUGUUACAGAAGUUUCUGUGUAGCAUUCAGCAUACUUACCAUUUUCUAUCAUCAAUUAUCUUACAGUAAGUUUUUACUCUGUUUUGAGUUUAAAACUAAAGUUUUGUGUUA